GCCAAAGAUGUAGAUUAGAACAAAAAUUUCACAAAAUACAAGUUCACUAAAUUAACUACAGAAUUCAAGAACAAUUAAAUAGUAUACAGUGAAAAUUACACCUGUAAGAAGAAAAGAACAAAGCAAAACAAGAUUCCACAUCCUUCCUCUUCAAUCUAGUAAGGAAAAAGUCCGCAACCUGAUCAUCAACUCAUGAGGAUCAUAACGGAAGUGAGAUCACAUAUUUCACACACAGAUACAAGAGAAUUGCAAUUGGAAAACUAGCUAAAGGGUUCAACAAGCAAGCAGAAGAUGCACUUCCACUUGGUCCACCUGAAGGUGGAAAUGCGAUAACUGAGCCAGAUGCAGGCACCACGGAAGAAUGUGGACCAUCCAUUGGAGCACCACCAGAUUCAGAAGGUGAAGGAGCAGGAGCAAACAUUACGUCUGGGCCUACCGAUGUAGGUGGGACAACAAGUGGAGGAAAUUGUUGCGGUCCUGCAAAACAUUUCGAUUGAAGAAUAGGGAAUAACAUAUGAUGCGUUAAGCAAAAGAAACAACAGAACAUUUGUGGCACAGUCUAGUGAAAUGUUUUGCCCAGAAGAAGUCAUAACAAGCCAUAAAGUAUGUUUUGCAGUUGGCUUUCCAAGUAAUGAAGGUCAAGUAAUGAAGAAGUCAUAACAAGCCAUAAAGUAUGUUUUGCAGUUGGCUUUCCAAGUAAUGAAGGUUCUAGAAAAAGAAAAAAAAAUGCCUCAACACCCAAUAUAACUAAUUCUAUGAAGAAGUUGCAUUUCAUGUGGCAUAUUAGAAUAGAAAUUUGUACCAUAAUGCAUGAGAAUGACUACAGCAAAUUAUCAAUCACAACAUAAAAGGUGUAUGUGCCCUGCACCCAAGGGUGUGGCAUAGUGGUCAAUGAAAUGGGUGAGAACCAUGAGGUCUCAGGUUCAAAUCCCAGCGGAGGCAAAUACUAGGUGAUUUCUUCCCAUCUAUCCAAGCCUUGGUGGAUAGAGUUACCCGGUACCUGUUGCUGGUGGGAGGUGACAGGUAUCCCGUGGAAUUAGUCGAGGUGCGCACAAGCUGGCCCGGACACCACGGUUAUCAAAAAAAAAAAAGGUGCAUGUGCCCCCCAAGAGAAGUAAAAAGAGAUA
rnacentral:lncRNA from 1 species